UCACAAUGGAGUGUUCUAGAGACAUUCUUUCUGAACGGUAGAGCUUUUCGAGGGAAUAUCCUUCCAUACAAAAUGAAGUUACCUCUCCCCAAACUCUCUGGUAAAAGUAGCCAGCCAAAAAUUGAGGUGAAACUCAAGGGCAGUUAAUGAAAACGUAACUUUAAACACUCAGAAGGCGUCUCAUCCAAAUUCCGUUUAUAAUCCUUCAAUUAAAAACUCAGCACAUUUUUGGUAGUGUUUAAAGUUGAUUUAGUAAUCUUUUAAUUAAAAAACAACAUUUAUAAUAUACAACGUUAUUAAGGAGAAAGGCUUCUUAGAUUUGGAAAGAAAAGGGCCAGCCCAACACAGCCGCGACUCUCUUCACAGCUGUUGCAUUUGCUACAAAGAAAUAAUGUUGUAUGCACAAAGAUAACUGUACCAAGGACAUUCAACACAGCCUGGCUCAUCCUACCAAAAAAUUGGAACCAAAUUGAGUGUUCAACGACAGAGUCUUGGCGGCAUAAAUUAGCACCUGUCAAAUGUGAUGAUGCCUAGUCAUGGUUUUAAAGAACGGAUUGCAAAGGGAGAAGCAGUUUCAAGACAAAAGGAGCGCUAAGUGGCUCAGCGGAGGGAGCAGCCAAGUGUCUGAGGAUUCUGCCCCUGCUUCCUCUGGCUCAGGGUUUCCGGACUUCAUUUGAACAGCUUUCUACUUUUGUCAAGGAGACGGCUGACUCCACGAGGGAAUUGUCAACUAGUAAAGCCCUUUCUUCAGAAAGUGUGAAUCGAUGGUGACUGUAAAAACCCAGGAUCUGGGGAAGAUUUCCUGAAACUGUGCGUGAGCACCUGUAAGCCUGCUGUUUCUCAGCCUCCUUAAGAGUGACAUCUUAGCAUCCCUCUCUUCCUAAUCCAUUUGCCCAGAGAUGGCUACAGAAGGUUUUCUCUGUCUGUCAACCCUCUCAUGUAGAAAUAGUUCUAUAUCCUUUUAAACGCCUUGCAACACUGCUACCAUCUCUGGUCCAUCAUUUCUUACAUAUGUGUGCAUUUAAUUAAUCCUGCGUACGAAUUAAUUUGAUUGGCUGCAUCUCUUCCCAUUUUCCUGUUAAGCCUUGGUAAGAAGUGUGUGUGUGUGUGUGUGUGUGUGUGUGUGUGUGUGUGUGUGUGUGCAUUCGUGCGUGCCCACCUGCCUGCCUGACACAGUAUACAGCUACACAUCAGAGACUAGAGAAAUACUUUCAGGAGUCCGUUCUCUUUUAUCAUCUUGAUUCUGGGGAUUUAGCACCCUACCCACUGAGCUCUCUCACCAGCCCAAUUUUCUCAUUUUGAGACUGGGGUUGAUGUCUUUUCCUGGUUUAUUUCUCCAGGACAAUGUGAGGAACUAAUACAUACUUGAAGCCAGCCCACUUUCCUCUGUCUUUUCUUUUGAGAUAAUUACAGGUUCACAUGCAGUUGGGAGAAACAAUACAGUUAAAUCUUGUACAUUUUCCCCCAGGUUCCUAUCGUGUUGGUUGUACAAUUACGGUGGGGCACUGUAAUCUACUCACUGAUAUUGUUCAGAUCCACCAGUUUCAUGUGCAUUUAUUUGCACAUGUGUAUACAUCUAGUUCUCUUUUAAUUUCCCCAGGCUGCUAUAACAAUAAACCACCUAGCUUACUUACAAUAAUACGAAAUUUUCUUUUCUUUGUGAUGGGGACUAGACUUCCAAAUAUUAAGGUGUUUCUGGGGUUGGGCUUCUUCCAAAGUCUCCAGGGGAGGAGUCGUGUACGUCUUUUCCAGCUGUCACUAAUUUUUUGGUGUACCACCCUAUUCCCUGUUGCUAAUAACACAGUAUCAAAAACCAGUAAGUAAUGAGUGAAAUAGGUUAUUUGAGCUUAGUUCUGGUCCUACGAUCAUUGAAGAAUUGAGAGGAGGGAUUAAGGGAGGAUAAGGGCCUUGAGAGAGAAAGUGCUUGAGAGCCACCACCAGACUUGGCCUUCAUGAUGAUGGAGGAGUCACACCCUGAGGCAGCACGGGGCAUCAUGUAGUUAGAUAUGAAGAAUAUACAUAUGUAUAUGUAUGUAUAUAUGUAUAAAUAAUAUGUAAUUAAAAUGGAUAGAACCAGGAAUCGUCAUAU
rnacentral:sRNA from 1 species